UGGGGAAUUUUCCGCAAUGGGCGCAAGCCUGACGGAGCAACGCCGCGUGAGGGAUGAAGGCCUNUGGGCUGUAAACCUCUUUUAUCAAGGAAGAAGAUCUGACGGUACUUGAUGAAUAAGCCACGGCUAAUUCCGUG
rnacentral:rRNA from 1 species